rnacentral:rRNA from 1 species
UAAGCGACUAAGCGUACACGGUGGAUGCCCUGGCAGUCAGAGGCGAUGAAGGACGUGCUAAUCUGCGAAAAGCGUCGGUAAGGUGAUAUGAACCGUUAUAACCGGCGAUGUCCGAAUGGGGAAACCCAGUGCAAUUCGUUGCACUAUCGUUAACUGAAUACAUAGGUUAACGAGGCGAACCGGGGGAACUGAAACAUCUAAGUACCCCGAGGAAAAGAAAUCAACCGAGAUUCCCCCAGUAGCGGCGAGCGAACGGGGAGCAGCCCAGAGUCUGAAUCAGCUUGUGUGUUAGUGGAACGGUCUGGAAAGUCCGACGGUACAGGGUGAUAGUCCCGUACACCAAAAUGCACAGGUUGUGAACUCGAAGAGUAGGGCGGGACACGUGGUAUCCUGUCUGAAUAUGGGGGGACCAUCCUCCAAGGCUAAAUACUCCUGACUGACCGAUAGUGAACCAGUACCGUGAGGGAAAGGCGAAAAGAACCCCGGCGAGGGGAGUGAAAAAGAACCUGAAACCGUGUACGUACAAGCAGUGGGAGCACCUUCGGGUGUGACUGCGUACCUUUUGUAUAAUGGGUCAGCGACUUAUAUUCUGUAGCAAGGUUAACCGUAUAGGGGAGCCGCAGGGAAACCGAGUCUUAACUGGGCGUUAAGUUGCAGGGUAUAGACCCGAAACCCGGUGAUCUAGCCAUGGGCAGGUUGAAGGUUGGGUAACACUAACUGGAGGACCGAACCGACUAAUGUUGAAAAAUUAGCGGAUGACUUGUGGCUGGGGGUGAAAGGCCAAUCAAACCGGGAGAUAGCUGGUUCUCCCCGAAAGCUAUUUAGGUAGCGCCUCGUGAACUCAUCUUCGGGGGUAGAGCACUGUUUCGGCUAGGGGGUCAUCCCGACUUACCAACCCGAUGCAAACUACGAAUACCGAAGAAUGUUAUCACGGGAGACACACGGCGGGUGCUAACGUCCGUCGUGAAGAGGGAAACAACCCAGACCGCCAGCUAAGGUCCCAAAGUCAUGGUUAAGUGGGAAACGAUGUGGGAAGGCACAGACAGCCAGGAUGUUGGCUUAGAAGCAGCCAUCAUUUAAAGAAAGCGUAAUAGCUCACUGGUCGAGUCGGCCUGCGCGGAAGAUGUAACGGGGCUAAACCAUGCACCGAAGCUGCGGCAGCGACACUAUGUGUUGUUGGGUAGGGGAGCGUUCUGUAAGCCUGCGAAGGUGUGCUGUGAGGCAUGCUGGAGGUAUCAGAAGUGCGAAUGCUGACAUAAGUAACGAUAAAGCGGGUGAAAAGCCCGCUCGCCGGAAGACCAAGGGUUCCUGUCCAACGUUAAUCGGGGCAGGGUGAGUCGACCCCUAAGGCGAGGCCGAAAGGCGUAGUCGAUGGGAAACAGGUUAAUAUUCCUGUACUUGGUGUUACUGCGAAGGGGGGACGGAGAAGGCUAUGUUAGCCGGGCGACGGUUGUCCCGGUUUAAGCAUGUAGGCUGAUUGUCCAGGCAAAUCCGGAUAAUCAAGGCUGAGGUGUGAUGACGAGGCACUACGGUGCUGAAGUAACAAAUGCCCUGCUUCCAGGAAAAGCCUCUAAGCAUCAGGUAACAUUAAAUCGUACCCCAAACCGACACAGGUGGUCAGGUAGAGAAUACCAAGGCGCUUGAGAGAACUCGGGUGAAGGAACUAGGCAAAAUGGUGCCGUAACUUCGGGAGAAGGCACGCUGGUGUGUAGGUGAAGUCCCUGCGGAUGGAGCUGAGACCAGUCGAAGAUACCAGCUGGCUGCAACUGUUUAUUAAAAACACAGCACUGUGCAAACACGAAAGUGGACGUAUACGGUGUGACGCCUGCCCGGUGCCGGAAGGUUAAUUGAUGGGGUUAUCCGUAAGGAGAAGCUCUUGAUCGAAGCCCCGGUAAACGGCGGCCGUAACUAUAACGGUCCUAAGGUAGCGAAAUUCCUUGUCGGGUAAGUUCCGACCUGCACGAAUGGCGUAAUGAUGGCCAGGCUGUCUCCACCCGAGACUCAGUGAAAUUGAACUCGCUGUGAAGAUGCAGUGUACCCGCGGCAAGACGGAAAGACCCCGUGAACCUUUACUAUAGCUUGACACUGAACAUUGAGCCUUGAUGUGUAGGAUAGGUGGGAGGCUUUGAAGCGUGGACGCCAGUCUGCGUGGAGCCAACCUUGAAAUACCACCCUUUAAUGUUUGAUGUUCUAACGUUGGCCCCUGACCGGGGUUGCGGACAGUGUCUGGUGGGUAGUUUGACUGGGGCGGUCUCCUCCCAAAGCGUAACGGAGGAGCACGAAGGUUAGCUAAUCCUGGUCGGACAUCAGGAGGUUAGUGCAAUGGCAUAAGCUAGCUUGACUGCGAGCGUGACGGCGCGAGCAGGUGCGAAAGCAGGUCAUAGUGAUCCGGUGGUUCUGAAUGGAAGGGCCAUCGCUCAACGGAUAAAAGGUACUCCGGGGAUAACAGGCUGAUACCGCCCAAGAGUUCAUAUCGACGGCGGUGUUUGGCACCUCGAUGUCGGCUCAUCACAUCCUGGGGCUGAAGUAGGUCCCAAGGGUAUGGCUGUUCGCCAUUUAAAGUGGUACGCGAGCUGGGUUUAGAACGUCGUGAGACAGUUCGGUCCCUAUCUGCCGUGGGCGCUGGAGAAUUGAGGGGGGCUGCUCCUAGUACGAGAGGACCGGAGUGGACGCAUCACUGGUGUUCGGGUUGUCAUGCCAAUGGCACUGCCCGGUAGCUAAAUGCGGAAGAGAUAAGUGCUGAAAGCAUCUAAGCACGAAACUUGCCCCGAGAUGAGUUCUCCCUGAGACUUUAAGUCUCCUGAAGGAACGUUAAAGACGAUGACGUUGAUAGGCCGGGUGUGUAAGCGCAGCGAUGCGUUGAGCUAACCGGUACUAAUGAACCGUGAGGCUUAACCU